rnacentral:rRNA from 1 species
AGAGUUUGAUCCUGGCUCAGGACGAACGCUGGCGGCGUGCCUAACACAUGCAAGUCGAGCGGAGACAGUGAGUAGCUUGCUAUGAGCUGUUUUAGCGGCGGACGGGUGAGUAACGCGUGAGCAACCUUUCCCAGACAGGGGAAUAACACACCGAAAGGUGUACUAAUACCGCAUAAGACCACGGUUUCACAUGGAACUGAGGUAAAAGAUUUAUCGGUUUGGGGUGGGCUCGCGUCCGAUUAGGUAGUUGGUGAGGUAACGGCCCACCAAGCCGACGAUCGGUAGCCGACCUGAGAGGGUGAUCGGCCACAUUGGGACUGAGACACGGCCCAAACUCCUACGGGAGGCAGCAGUGGGGAAUAUUGCACAAUGGGGGAAACCCUGAUGCAGCGACGCCGCGUGAGCGAAGAAGUAUUUCGGUAUGUAAAGCUCUAUCAGCAGGGAAGAAAAUGACGGUACCUGACUAAGAAGCCCCGGCUAACUACGUGCCAGCAGCCGCGGUAAUACGUAGGGGGCAAGCGUUGUCCGGAAUAAUUGGGCGUAAAGGGCGCGUAGGCGGCUCGGUAAGUCUGGAGUGAAAGUCCUGCUUUUAAGGUGGGAAUUGCUUUGGAUACUGUCGGGCUUGAGUGCAGGAGAGGUUAGUGGAAUUCCCAGUGUAGCGGUGAAAUGCGUAGAGAUUGGGAGGAACACCAGUGGCGAAGGCGACUAACUGGACUGUAACUGACGCUGAGGCGCGAAAGUGUGGGGAGCAAACAGGAUUAGAUACCCUGGUAGUCCACACUGUAAACGAUGAAUGCUAGGUGUAGGGGGUAUCGACCCCUUCUGUGCCGCAGUCAACACAAUAAGCAUUCCGCCUGGGGAGUACGGCCGCAAGGUUGAAACUCAAAGGAAUUGACGGGGGCCCG